rnacentral:tRNA from 1 species
UCCCUAGUGGCUCAGAUGGUAAAGCAUCUGCCUACAAUGCAGGAGACCCGGGUUCAAUCCCUGAGUCAGGAA